GCUUUGUCAGGCUUGUGCUCACAGGGAGCCCAUCCUGUUUCAGGCAGCAGACAACAAUUGAAGUGACCCCAGGGCAGAGUCCUCUCUCCUCGCCUGUCAUCGGGGAAUCAAACAGCCUGCCUCCAGGUGGUGUUUUACUGAAGGAGCAUACAUUAUAGUCACAACCAAAAUAGGAAACUGAUUCUCUUGGAGGCUGGGCGACCAUCCAGGGCCAAUCUGGGGACAGAUUGGGGAAUCACACAGUUAUAUUAGUAUCUGUAAUUUAAAGACUCACUUGACUUAAUCAUUAAAAUUCCCGUCGUUGCUACAGAA
rnacentral:lncRNA from 1 species